CUCUUAACUUGCAUCACAUGCACACACCCACACACACCCUGUUUAAACAUUCAUCUUCACUCUGGUCUGCUGAUCCUACCUUCACACAGCUGCCAGAAUCUUCCUCAAGCACAAUCUAAGCAUAUUGACUUCUGGACUCAAAAAACUCCAAGGAUUAUCAGAUGACACCCAUGCCACGGCAAGAAGAAAAACUCACAUUCUACAAAGCACAAUGGGAGAAACAGACAUCUUAGAGCAGUGAACGAACUCCAGAAAUACUUCCAUGGACGGAGAAAAAAGGGAAAUAGGAAGAAAGAAAAAAACCAAGAACACCGAAAAUAGCGAUGCCGUAAGUUUGGAGAACACUCACACCGUUAUGCCGUUUGUUCCGUACAGUAACCCCCGACGAUCAUUACAGGGGAGACACUCAUUUGGAAAAGGAGGAAGCCAAAUUUCAGGGAGGGCGAGCGAUGUGCCCAAUACCAACCAGUUUGACAGUGGCAGAACUGUGGCUCCUGAUGGCAGGUCGGGGUUCUUUUUGCCACACCACUUUUCUGCCUUUCUGUGUCUUCUCCUUCUUGUCAUAUUGAUACGAAGAGUGAAAUGGUAACUACAGCUAUUGAUUGGUUUUUUUUUGUAAUAUUCAUUUUUUUAAAUGGUGAGUUCCAAAUUCUCUCCUUCCCUCCUGCCCCUCCCCGAUCCACUGAGAUCAAAAGCAAUAUGAUAUCAAUUAUACGUGUGAAGCCAUGCAAAACAUAUUUCCAUAUUAGCCAUGUUGGAGGAAUAAAAGAAAUGCAAGAGAAAAAAGUGGAAAAAGU
rnacentral:lncRNA from 1 species